CUCUCCGCGCAUCCAGUGAGAGCUUCAAUCCUGGGUUGUUCUCACAGCGCCAUCUUGAGUCCUCUCCGAGUCAGUCCAUAAAAUGUUUCUGAGCAGUUUAGUAUAUAUUUCUUAUUUUUUAAACUGCAAAUUAAAAAAUUUUUCAAAUAACUGAAAAGUUGAAAGAAUAACACAUUGAACAUUAUAUACCCUUUACAACUACAUUAAUCAGUUAUUAACAUUUCACUACCUCUGCUUUAUUUUGCUCUCUAUUUAUUUAUUUACUUAUUUAGAGAUGGGUCUCACUCUGUCACCCAGGCUAGAGUGCAGUAGCAUGAUCUCAGCUCACUGCAACCAGCGCCCCCUGGGCUCAAGUGAUCCUAUCACGUCAGCCUCCUGAGUAGCUGGGACCACAGGUACUUCUCAUGUGUUGGCAGAUGAGGGCACUGGGAUGAUGCCAUCCUGAGAUGCGAGGAACUCUGAGAUGAAAGAACAAAAUGGGCUGGGCAUGGUGGCUCACUCCAGUAAUUUCAGCACUUCGGGAGGCCAAGCUCUGCCCCACUAAGCUCUCUACAUGGCCGAAGCACGAGACCAGAAUGCGCUCUUUCGACAGGCAGAGAGAGCCAAAGGGGAAAAGAGCUGAGGCAAGGCUGCCAAGUUUCUGCUUCCAGCCCUAAAAGCCAGUUACUCACGCCUUGCAAUGAGGAAGCCAGGAGUCCUAUCUAGGUAAGUUGUUCUGCCUGGAAACCUGAGGCAUGAGGAAUGAGUGCUCUUUCCUAAUAUCAGAUGUAAAAAUUCUGAGAGCUUUUGUCCCUUUGGAGACCACAAGUUGCAUUGGGCAGCCAGCUCAGCUGGCUUCAGAGUCACUGUGACGUAGGGUCUCCAGUGAUGUCUUAUGGAGUCUGGGUAAGUAGCCCCUCUGUCCUACCCAGCGACCUCUUUCCAUAACAUGCUGGCUCCACAGCUGGCAGGGCUGGAGGACCCCAUGGAAAUCCAGGUGGUGGCUGCAUCUGCAGAUGAACUUCUGAAGGCUGGAGCCAAUUGGCAAGGUAUACAUUUUUGAGGGUAGAGGGCUGCAUUUCACCCCUUGCUAAGAUUCGUUACUUUAGAAUCAUCCUUUAGUCCAUGAAGAAGCUGCUUUUCUUCCCCACACAGGUUUCUCACCUCCAUUACAUGAAAAUGAUUCUGAAUUCAGACUGAUUUGCUUAAUGCCUGAUGGUGUGUUGUCAGUGAUAUGUAAAACUAGGCGUUGAAUCCCAGUGUGUCUUGCAUUGUCUAAUCAUUUAAUUGGCCAUAAUGAUUUCAUUAUCUGGGUUGUAAAAUGGGACAAUUGGCAAUUUUUCCAAGUGCUUCCAGCUUGAUUAUAUACGUAAAGAGGAGGAGGUAUAUUUUAUGUAUAUAUAUAUAUAUAUAUAUAUAUAUAUAUAUAUAUGCCCAGUAACUGCUUUUUCAAAUUACAUUCAUUCCUCUUUAUUUUAUUUGAAAGUAUAUGGAGUUCACCAUAGUUCAAGGAAAGCAUUGUGGUAAACAGCCAGCUUAAAUGUGAGCAGUGUAAAGAGCAGCAGCUUGCAGAAAUAUUGCUAUAGAUGCUAAGACCAAAUCCUGCCUCGAUGGGGACCACACAUAAUUGAAUCAUGUUCAAUAGAAGGCCAUUACAAAACCGAACUUAUUUGCAAUGCUAAUGUGGGGAAGACAGCUGUCACAGGGAAUUAAAUAUGAUCAUUCAGAGCCUGAAUAAAUGAGGUGUCCAUUAUCUUCUGGCUGUGUUG
rnacentral:lncRNA from 13 species